AUUGAACGCUGGCGGCAGGCCUAACACAUGCAAGUCGAGCGGAAACGAUCCUAGCUUGCUAGGAGGCGUCGAGCGGCGGACGGGUGAGUAACGCGUGAGAAUCUACCCAUGAGUGGGGGACAACCCGGGGAAACUCGGGCUAAUACCGCAUACGCCCUACGGGGUAAAGCAGGGGACCUUCGGGCCUUGCGCUGAUGGAUGAGCUCGCGUCGGAUUAGCUUGUUGGUGAGGUAAAGGCUCACCAAGGCGACGAUCCGUAGCUGGUCUGAGAGGAUGAUCAGCCACACCGGGACUGAGACACGGCCCGGACUCCUGCGGGAGGCAGCAGUGGGGAAUCUUGGACAAUGGGGGCAACCCUGAUCCAGCCAUGCCGCGUGUGUGAAGAAGGCCUUCGGGUUGUAAAGCACUUUCAGCAGGGAGGAAGGCUUACCCCUAAUACGGGUGAGUACUUGACGUUACCUGCAGAAGAAGCACCGGCUAAUUUCGUG
rnacentral:rRNA from 1 species